rnacentral:rRNA from 1 species
UACAGAGGUCUCAAGCGUUUGUUCGGAUUCAUUGGGCGUAAAGGGUGCGUAGGUGGCGCGCUAAGUCAGGUGUGAAAUUUCGGAGCUUAACUCCGAAACUGCAUUUGAUACUGGCGUGCUUGAGGACUGGAGAGGAGACUGGAAUUCACGGUGUAGCAGUAGAAUGCGUAGAUAUCGUGAGGAAGACCAGUGGCGGAAGGCGGGUCUCGUGGACAGU